AGCGAACGCUGGCGGCAGGCCUAACACAUGCAAGUCGAACGGCAGCACGGGAGCUUGCUCCUGGUGGCGAGUGGCGGACGGGUGAGUAACACGUAGGAAUCUGCCUGGUAAUGGGGGAUAACCCGGGGAAACUCGGGCUAAUACCGCAUACGCUCUACGGAGGAAAGCGGGGGAUCUUCGGACCUCGCGUUAUCAGAUGAGCCUGCGUCCGAUUAGCUAGUUGGCGGGGUAAAGGCCCACCAAGGCGACGAUCGGUAGCUGGUCUGAGAGGACGAUCAGCCACACUGGAACUGAGACACGGUCCAGACUCCUACGGGAGGCAGCAGUGGGGAAUAUUGGACAAUGGGCGCAAGCCUGAUCCAGCAAUGCCGCGUGUGUGAAGAAGGCCUGCGGGUUGUAAAGCACUUUAAGCUGGAAAGAAGGUUUCAGGGCUAAUAUCCCUGGAAAUUGACGUUACCUGCAGAAUAAGCACCGGCUAACUCCGUGCCAGCCGCCGCAGUAACAC
rnacentral:rRNA from 1 species